rnacentral:rRNA from 1 species
AACGUAGGACACGAGCGUUAUCCGGAGUUACUGGGCGUAAAGGGCGUUCAGGCGGGUGAUUAAGUUCGCUAUGAAAGCGCCGGGCUAAACCCGGCGAGGCUGGCGGAUACUGGUCAUCUGGAGUGAGUCAGAGGAAGGUAGAAUUCCGCGUGUAGUGGUGAAAUGCGUAGAGAUGCGGAGGAAUACCAGUGGCGAAGGCGGCCUUCUGGGGGCUCAACUGACGCUGAGGCGCGAAAGCCAGGGGAGCAAACGGGG